AUUGAACGAUGGCGGCAGGCUUAACACAUGCAAGUCGAACGAGUGGCGGACGGGUGAGUAAUGCCUGGGAAUCUAGCUUAUGGAGGGGGAUAACUACGGGAACCGGUAGCAAAUACCACAUACCAUAGGAUGAGCCCAAGUGGGAUGAGGUAGUGGUGGAGGUAAAGGCUCACCAAGCCGACGAUCCCUAGCUGGUCUGAGAGGAUGACCAGCCACACUGGGACUGAUACACGGCCCAGACUCCUACUGUAGGCAGCAGUGGGGAAUAUUGCGCAAUGGCGGCAAGCUGACGCAGCCAUGCCGCGGGAAUGAAGAAGGCCUUCGGGUUGUAAAGUUCUUUCGGUAGCGAGGCGUUAACUACAGAAGAAGCACCGGCUAACUCCGUGCCAGCCGCCGCGGUAAUAC
rnacentral:rRNA from 1 species